CAGCACCUCAAGUGGUCAGGAUGAUUAUUGGGCCUAAAGCAUCCGUGGCCGGCGCUGUAAGUUUUCGGUUAAAUCUGUACGCUCAACGUACAGGCUGCCGGGAAUACUGCAGCGCUAGGGAGUGGGAGAGGUAGACGGUACUCGGUAGGAAGGGGUAAAAUCCUUUGAUCUAUUGAUGACCACCUGUGGCGAAGGCGGUCUACCAGAACACGUCCGACGGUGAGGGAUGAAAGCUGGGGGAGCAAACCGGAUUAGAGACCCGAGUAGUCC
rnacentral:rRNA from 1 species